rnacentral:rRNA from 1 species
AGCUCAAAUUUGAAAGCUGGCUCCUUCGGGGUCCGCAUUGUAAUUUGCAGAGGAUGCUUCGGGAGCGGCCCCCAUCUAAGUGCCCUGGAACGGGCCGUCAUAGAGGGUGAGAAUCCCGUCUGGGAUGGGGUGCCCGCGCCCGUGUGAAGCUCCUUCGACGAGUCGAGUUGUUUGGGAAUGCAGCUCUAAAUGGGUGGUAAAUUUCAUCUAAAGCUAAAUACUGGCCGGAGACCGAUAGCGCACAAGUAGAGUGAUCGAAAGAUGAAAAGCACUUUGAAAAGAGAGUUAAACAGCACGUGAAAUUGUUGAAAGGGAAGCGCUUGCGACCAGACUCGCCCGCAGGGUUCAGCCGGCAUUCGUGCCGGUGUACUUCCCCGCGGGCGGGCCAGCGUCGGUUUGGGCGGCCGGUCAAAGGCCCUCGGAAUGUAACGCCCCCCGGGGCGUCUUAUAGCCGAGGGUGCCAUGCGGCCAGCCCGGACCGAGGAACGCGCUUCGGCUCGGACGCUGGCAUAAUGGUCGUAAGCGACCCGUCUUGAAACACGGACCAAGGAGUCUAACAUCUACGCGAGUGUUCGGGUGUCAAACCCGUGCGCGCAGUGAAAGCGAACGGAGGUGGGAACCCCCCGGGGUGCACCAUCGACCGAUCCUGAUGUCUUCGGAUGGAUUUGAGUAAGAGCGUAGCUGUUGGGACCCGAAAGAUGGUGAACUAUGCCUGAAUAGGGCGAAGCCAGAGGAAACUCUGGUGGAGGCUCGCAGCGG